rnacentral:tRNA from 1 species
GGCAGGAUAAUUCAAUGAUUAAGAGUAUGAACUCUAGAGCCAGAUUUCAAGGUUCAAAUCCUGGUUCUGCCA